UACGUAGGUGGCAAGCGUUGUCCGGAUUUAUUGGGUUUAAAGGGUGCGUAGGCGGGUAUUUAAGUCAGAGGUGAAAGACGGCCGCUCAACGGUCGCAGUGCCUUUGAUACUGGAUAUCUUGAGUGCAGACGAGGUCUGUGGAAUGGAUGGUGUAGCGGUGAAAUGCUUAGAUACCAUCCAGAACACCAAUUGCGAAGGCAGCAGACUAGGGUGCAACUGACGCUGAGGCACGAAGUGCGGGGAUCAAACAGG
rnacentral:rRNA from 1 species